rnacentral:rRNA from 1 species
GGGUCAGGUAUGGUUAGGACUUGGUUGGGAGACAGCCUGGGAAUACCAGGUGCUGUAAGCCUUUUC